ensembl:rRNA 5S_rRNA 5S ribosomal RNA
GUCUAUGGCCAUGACAUCCUGAACGUGCCCGAUCCCAUCUGAUCUCGGAAGCUAAGCAGGGUCGCGCCUGGCGAGUACUUGGAUGGGAGACCACCUAGGAAGAUCAGGCAAAAAGUGGGCG